AGGUGCAACAAUUUUGACAUUUAUCUCCAGCUGCGUAAAAGGCCAGUAAAGUCAAUUAAACUAUAUAGUUACAGAUAAACAAAUGGUCAGGACGACUGAACUGCAUUAAAAUUGCGAUACGUGUCGCAUUCAGAUCACACCAAGUGAACAAUGCGUCUCCAGUUACUUGUGCUUCUGAUGUUUGCACUUAUGUCCGCGUUGUCUGCGGUCGUAAUAAGAAAAGAGUGUCCCAAAUGCAAGAGUGAUGAAAUACGGGUCUGUCGUGAUAAGUGUUAUUGUCAAAGAAAAGUUGUUUUACCUAUUGGUAGAAUUAAUUGAAGUAUAUAAUAUGAAUAGAAAAUAUAGAUUUAUUAAUUUACACUUACACUAUAUUAUAAAUAA